GUGUAGACCAGCCUCUCUCUUGGGAAGUAGUGACUCCGAGAAGGACUUGGGGAUUAUCAUAGAUAAUCACCUUAACGUGAGCUCUCAGUGCAAGGCUGUGGCAAAAGGGGCUAAUGCAAUCCCUGGAUGUGUACGAAGGGAAAUAUCGAGUAGAGGAAGAAGUGGUCUUGCCUCUGUACACUGCACUAGUAAGACUGCUACUAGGAUACCGUGUCCAGUUGUGGUGUCCACAUUUCAAGGAGGGCCACAAACAUUUUCCAGUGACUGGAAAACAAGCCCUACAGUAUGAGGCUUAAGGUGUCCAAUUUAUUCAGCUUACUGAAGAGAAGGCUGAGAAGUGACAUGAUCACUGUGUACAGGCACUAACACGUGAACAAGAUAGCUGACAGUGGGGGGCUUUCCAACCAUGCUAAACAGGGACCACAAGGUCCAAUGUCUGAACGUUGAAAUUGGACAAAUUCAACCUUGAAAUAAAAUGCAGUUUCCCAGCAGGGAGGGUGAUUAGACACUGGAACAGCUUACCAGGGGAGGUGGUGGAGUCCCUAUCGCUUGGAGGCUUUAAGGCAAGAUUAGAAAUCUUUCUAAAAGAUAUGCUUUAAUCCAGCUUCUUGGAGAAAUUCUAAGGAGGAGCAGGGGCUCAAGCUGGAUGGUCAUGAGGAUUCCUUCUGGCCUUGGAAUCUAUGAAUCCUCCUGUUCACUGCCUUCCUUCAUGGGCUGUGGAGAACAGAAUUGCCUUCAUUGCCCUUAACAUGCUCAUAAUGUUUGCAGCUCUGCUUAAAGACCAUGGCUUCAUCCUGCAAGGAUGAGGAAAGAAGUUUUUUUCCUGAAGCACAAUUAGCCAGAUGUAUUCUGGGUUUGUUUCUCUUCACUUUCCUCAGAAGCAUGAGAGAUUGGCCACAGCUGGAGAUAGGAGACCGGACAGGGUGGACCAGUGUUCUGAUUAGGUACAGAGAAUCCUCUGGCUAGAUGCCUGGCUGGCAUGUCAUUCUCACAUGUUCACGGUCAAACCAAUGCCUUCCCAAAUCCAAAUCUAUUUACCCUCAGGUCAGAUUCACAGAGACCUUGAGGGGGGAGGGUUCACCUUCCUCUGCAUCGUGGGACAAGGAUUGCCAGCUGCAGAUCACACCUAAACAAUUCCCUCCCAUUGCAGGGACCUCAGGCACUUAGUGGCACCUUGAUCUCUCCUGUUCACUGCCUGUCUCCUCAGGUCUGAAAUGCUUCAGUAGAAUUAAAAUCUUUGAGCUCAACAUAGAGGUAUCUGUGUAAAAUUGAAUGGCAUGUGAUAUUUAAUGGUCCCUCGUGGUCUGAAAAUCCAUGGUCUCAUUGUGUGAGGUACUACGUGAUAUACAAAACCGCAAUCCCUGCCCCCAAAGAGCUUACACACCCAUACUGAUUUCAAUGACGCUGCUUCCCUGGAUGUACUCAGAAUCUCAUCUGCACACUUUAAAUGACCAGAACAUGUUUCCAUGACUUUUUUCUCUGGUAAAAACCUGAUACCAGUCAAGGAGAGAGAGCAGGUCUCUACUGUUACUUGUGCAAUGUCAGUGGAACUGUUAAGUGUUCGGAUGGAAGGUCAUCACCAGCAGAGCAGGCGCUAGGAACCCAGCUUUGACUUAGCAGUGCUGGUACUUAGAAAAAAGAAAACAACAUCUUUUAUCUUGUAAAUUAAGCAAACUUUGUUCUGGAGUCAAUGAGACAAGAAACAGGGAAACACGCCAGGCUCUCUUUAGAGAGUCACUUCGGAGUAUAGUAUCACUGCACUGAGGCUGUAAUAAAAGCGAUUGUGGGCCAAGUUUUCCACUGGUGUAACUUGCCACUGUGCCAACUUUACACCAGCAGAGAAUUUCUUGCUCUGUGCUAAAGCUGUGAUUUCCAUAGCGAGUAAAGCCAUCCCUUUAGAUUUUAAGUUCUUCUGGACCUUUUUUUUUUGUCCAGAACCUAGCACAAUGCAGCCUCUAGCAGAAACAGACAUAAGUAACAAUUACCACAUUUCUAAAGUGUUUUGAGAUCCUUUGGAAUGAAGCCUCAUAAGUAUACAAUGCAAUUAUAUUAUUAUGCCUUGGACUUCCAAAUCCCGCUAAAUAGAAUAGGAUUAUCAUUGUAGUAAUCAGCUCCUCUGUGCCUGGGACAUUUUAGCUAGGGGAUAUUAGUCUCAGUGGGCCAAAGGCUCCACUUUUUGUUAAAAUUAACAUAAUUUAUACAUAUAAAAUCACACUGAGAUCAUCGAACGUUAAUAGAUAGUGCUGGAGUCCAAUCUGCAGCCCUUACUCAUCUGGACUUAAAUGGGACUCUACUCACAUACGGGCUAUAGGAUCUCAGAAAGGGCCUGAUUCUUAAGUACAAUUAAUAAUCCCAUGCUGAACUACAGGGUAACUGCUUUUUAUAAUAGCCCCUCCUCAACAAAAGGGCCUUGCCUACACUGGGGAUUUCAGCCAGAGGUGCAAAACCCUAACAUAGACAGGCAAAAAACAAAACCAAACCCUGCACAUACGAUGAUUUGUACUGGUGAGUGAAAUCAGAGGAAGCUGCAUCCAUGCAGAUUGCGGCUUAUGCUGCCUCCAGUAGGAGUCUGCGGCAGUGCAGCUACACUGACAGUUGUAAUUGGGGAAAAUCCCCUUUGUAAACAAGGCCCAAGUCGAAUAGCGAAAUUAUCUAUCCACGAAACACCUGUAUUAAGAUUGACACUGUGUUAAUUUAGACAGAAGUUGAUGUAACCUCUGCAUCAGAUCCAAGAUCUUAUUGCAAAUCUAGGGGGCUUCAAAUAACCCAUGGCACAACCUUCAAUGUCAAAGAGCCUCCAAGGAAUUCAAGGACUACCAUCCACACAGAGAAUCCUGAAGUUAUAUUAUAAGAUUAACUCAGAGCACUGAGCCCAAAGUCAGGAGAUUUAACUGUCUCUUGGAAUUCACCGAGGAGAACUGGAUUGUUCCUUUCAGCACAUCCCUUUAUGGACAAUAACACUGUUCACAGCAGUGAGGAACAAAACAUUUCAGUCUGCAUCACACACAUGCUCCAACUACUCCUCAUUGUUCUCUCACUUUUUCAGAGUCUCCCAGGAGAGAGAGAAAUGACAGCAACACCUAUUACUAACAAACACACAGGCCUUGUCUGCACUGGGAAAUUGCAUCAGGUAAACAGAGUUGCCAGCUUGGCUGCAAAUCUCCCCGCUCCAGGUGCCUCAGUAGUGGUGAGAACUGCUCCCUGUUACAGCUGCCACAGAACCAGCAGAGUCCACCAGAAGCUGAUUUGGGCUGAAGUGUGGAGAUCUAGUUUGCAGCUGCCAUUACUUACUACAGUCCUCCAAAGAAAUGUGUGAAUGGGAGGAGAAAAUAAAACUUUACAUGUAAUCUCA